UAAGACGAGGGAUGCAAGCGUUAUCCGGAAUUACUGGGCGUAAAGGACGUCUAGGCGGUUGGAUAAGUCAUUUGUGAAAUCCCGGGGCUUAACCCUGGAAGGUCUUGUGAUACUGUCCGGCUUGGGUGUAGGAGAGGAGAGCGGAACUCACAGAGUAGCGGUGGAAUGCGUAGAUACUGUGAGGUACCCCGAUGGCGAAGGCAGCUCUCUGGCCUAUUACCGACGCUGAAGCGUGAAAGCGUGGGGAGCAAAGGGGAUUAGAUACCCCCGUAGUCCACGCCCCAAACGAUGUUCACUUGGUGUCGGGAGCCUAUAUAUCUCGGUGCCGGAGCUAACGCGUUAAGUGAACCGCCUGAGGAGUACGGCCGCAAGGUUA
rnacentral:rRNA from 1 species